rnacentral:tmRNA from 1 species
GGGGGCGCAAGGAUUCGACGGGAGUUUUAUGGGUGGAAGUUGCGAGCCCGGGACCAUGCCCCGGUGAUCAACAUGGAUCCUAAAAUAAACGCAGAAGAUAAUUACGCUUUAGCUGCUGCUUAAACAGCAGUAGCCGUCUCUCCGGUUUUUGCCUGUGAAACUGGAAGGGGCGUCAAGGAGCAGGCUACCAUCUCCUGUAUGCUCAGGCAGGGGAAAAGGGAAAUUAACAUGAGCUAGUGAGGACAAAAUCCCGUCCUGAGGAAAUUGUCCCACGAAAAGCCAAAUCAGGACUAGGCUCGUAGAGGCUUCUGCUGGUGAACUUCCGGACGCGGGUUCGAUUCCCGCCGCCUCCACCA